rnacentral:rRNA from 1 species
UACGUAGGUCCCGAGCGUUGUCCGGAUUUAUUGGGCGUAAAGAGCUCGUAGGCGGUUUGUCGCGUCUGCCGUGAAAGUCCGGGGCUCAACUCCGGAUCUGCGGUGGGUACGGGCAGACUAGAGUGAUGUAGGGGAGACUGGAAUUCCUGGUGUAGCGGUGAAAUGCGCAGAUAUCAGGAGGAACACCGAUGGCGAAGGCAGGUCUCUGGGCAUUAACUGACGCUGAGGAGCGAAAGCAUGGGGAGCGAACAGG